rnacentral:lncRNA from 1 species
CAUGUAGACCUAGAAAGCAAAAUUCAUAGAAACAGUGAACGAUUACAUAGACUAAUAAAACAUCAAUUGUUCAAUGGCGCCAAGCGCGAUACUUGCAAGAAUCAAGAACAAAGACACAAAGAUAAAACAAGGACCGGCAGGGGGCGGCGGCGACUAGUUGCCGGGGUCUUCAGCUGGGGGCUCCGCCUCCAGCUUCCUCUACAUCCGGUCCCCCACCUGCUCAACAAACCUGCUCACCGCCUUGCUGUGAGGAGGGCCGUCCUCGCUGUCCGACCAUGUAACAUCCCAAAAUUUCAAACCUUUACAUGAGCAUUGCAUUCAUAAACAUCAUGCCACAAUUGCAUAUUUGAAUUCAAAUUUUGAAUCUCAAAAGGCUUUGGAAAGAUUCUUUAUUUCAUUUUAAACCCUAGGGUUUACACCCAUUUGAGCUUUGGAUCUUCAAACCAUUAAAGUUUAUAUAUAAAAGGGGUUUAGUGCACAUAUGAGCUAUCCCAUAAUUUUUGGAUAAUUGUUUGGAGUUGAAAAAGUAUUUUAUUUAAACAGAUAUAUGGCCCUAAAGGCAUUUAUAGGGCAAAUGUAUUUUUACAUAUUUUAUUUUGAAGAGAAACUACUUCUAAAAGUUGUAUCUUGGUAGAGCAUGAUUUUACCAAUUUUCUGGAAUUUGUUUGGACCAAUUUGGAGUUCAAACACAAAAGAUAUCAAAGAAAUGGGAAAAACAGAAAAAGAAAAGGCCUAAAAGAAAAAAAAAAGGUAAACCGGACCGGCCCGGCCAAAAUGGGCCGAACCGGCCCAGUCCAACCGCGCCCGACCGGCCCAGACCGCCCGGUCCGUGCGCGCGCCCGCAGUCGCUGACAGGUGGGGUCCACCUGUCAGCUACGUCUUCCCCGAAGGAAAGCGCCGCCGGUCACGCGCGCGAUUUCCGGCCGCCGUCCCCGCGCGCCCGCCGCCGCAAUCCGCUCCUCCGGCCUUCCAUUUUCAUGCCCGAGCACUCCUUUAUAACCCCCGCGACCUCCUCUCUCUUUCCCCCAUUUUCUCCAUCCAAACGCGCCGCCGGGCUGCCCCGAUUUCUCGCCGGAGCCGUGCCCGCGCCGCCGCCCAUCUUCGUCCUCGGCGCCGACCCUGCCGUC